UAAAAAUCUCUGGAACCAGAGCAAAUCAUUGUCUAGCAGCUAGGAGGACUUCUUCACCACAAAACUAUGGCUCUCUUCCCUCGGGUUUAAGGAUCCUUCAACUUGAGAAAUCAGCUGCGUUUGCUACUAAGAAGCACCUCCUACAACACAGGAAAAUCCAUUAUUAGUUGGCAUCAAUGCUCCAUUGUUAAAUGGCAGAUAGGUGAGGUAGCCACCUGCUUAGGUAGCAACUUGAGGUGACUGAUUGGAUGACCUUGCAUCAUACAACAAAAUUUAUUUUAUUUUUA